rnacentral:rRNA from 1 species
GACGAACGCUGGCGGCGUGCCUAAUACAUGCAAGUCGAACGAGUGGCGGACGGGUGAGUAACACGUGGGAACCUACCCAUCCGACGGGGCUAACUACUGGAAACGGUAGCCAAUACCGCAUCCCAUCAGAUGCGACCAGAUUGUCUUAGCUAGUGGGUGGGGUAAUGGCUCACCUAGGCGACGAUCCCUAGCGGGUCGGAGAGGCUGACCAGCAACACUGGAAAUUAGACACGGUACAGACUCCUACGGGAGGCAGCAGUGGGGAAUAUUGCAAAAUGGGCGCAAGCCUGAUGCAGCCAUGCCGCGUGUGUGAAGAAGGCCUUCGGGUUGUAAAAGACUUUCAGCGGGGAGGCGGUACCCGAAGAAGAAGCACCGGCUAACGCCGUGCCAGCAGCCGCGGUAAUAC